rnacentral:rRNA from 1 species
GUCCUCUUGUAAUAGGUUAAGAGGUCUAGCCUGCCCAUUGAUAUAUAUUUAACGGCCGCGGUAUAUUGACCGUGCAAAGGUAGCAUAAUAAUUAGUCUCUUAAUAGGAGACUGGAAUGAAGGGUUUGACGAGGUAUUGACUGUCUCAUCUAAAUAUAUUUAGAAUUUAAUUUUUGAGUUAAAAAGCUUAGAUUUUAUUGGAAGACGAGAAGACCCUAUAGAGCUUUAUUAAUAUAUUUUAGUAUUAUUUUUGUUUAAUAACUGUUUUACUUUUGUAUGUUUUUUUGGUUGGGGUGAUGAAAAAUAUAUAUUUAACUUUUAUUAUUUAUUUUACAUUUAUUUGUGGUUAUUAGAUCCAUUAUUAUUGAUUGUUAGAUUAAGUUACCUUAGGGAUAACAGCGUAAUCUUCCCUUAGAGUUCACAUUUACGGGAAGGCUUGCGACCUCGAUGUUGGAUUAAGAUUAUAAUUUAGCGCAGUAGCUUUAUAUAUAGGUCUGUUCGACCUUUAAAUUCUUACAUGAUCUGAGUUCAGACCGG